rnacentral:piRNA from 1 species
UCUACACCUUUGGCCGCAUUGUGAUC